CCAACAGUUUCCCUCCCAACCGAAUUGCUCCAAUUCAGUUAUUCCACAUUUACAAAUGUCAAAAACUGAAUUGGAGCAAUUCGGUUGGGAGGGAAACUGUUGG
rnacentral:pre_miRNA from 1 species